UCGAGAAUCUUCGGCAAUGGACGCAAGUCUGACCGAGCGACGCCGCGUGGUGGAUGAAGGCUUUCGAGUUGUAAACACCUGUUGAGGGGGAGGAAUUUUGACCGAACCCUUGAGGAAGCACGGGCUAAGUUCGUGCCAGCAGCCGCGGUAAUACGAACUGUGCGAACGUUAUUCGGAAUCACUGGGCUUAAAGAGCGCGUAGGCGGCGUCGUAAGUUGGAGGUGAAAGCCCACGGCUCAACCGUGGAAUUGCCCCCAAUACUGCGAUGCUUGAGGAAGGUAGGGGUUUGUGGAACUUCCGGUGGAGCGGUGAAAUGUGUUGAGAUCGGAAGGAACGCCGGCGGCGAAAGCGACAAACUGGAUCUUCUCUGACGCUGAGGCGCGAAAGCUAGGGGAGCGAACGGGAUUAGAUACCCCCGUAGUCC
rnacentral:rRNA from 1 species